rnacentral:rRNA from 1 species
AUUGAACGCUGGCGGCAUGCUUUACACAUGCAAGUCGAACGGCAGCGCGGGGCAACCUGGCGGCGAGUGGCGAACGGGUGAGUAAUAUAUCGGAACGUACCCAGAAGUGGGGAUAACGGAACGAAAGCUUAGGUAAUUCCCCAAUCCCUCCUCGGAUUAAAAGCGGGGGACGUCAAGGCUUAAGCCUUUUGUGCCGCCGAUUUCUGAUUAGCUCGUUGGUGAGGUAAAGGCUCACCAAGGCGACGAUCAGUAGCUGGUCUGAGAGGACGACCAGCCACACUGGAACUGAGACACGGUCCAGACUCCUACGGGAGGCAGCAGUGGGGAAUUUUGGACAAUGGGCGCAAGCCUGAUCCAGCAAUGCCGCGUGAGUGAAGAAGGCCUUCGGGUUGUAAAGCUCUUUUGUCAGGGAAGAAACGGUAGAGGCUAAUAUCCUUUGCUAAUGACGGUACCUGAAGAAUAAGCACCGGCUAACUACGUG